CAUUUGGAACGAAUGCUAAUACCGCAUAAAAAACUUUAAAACGACAAGUUUAAGUUUGAAAGAUGCAAUUGCAUCACUCAAAGAUGAUCCCGCGUUGUAUUAGCUAGUUGGUGAGGUAAAGGCUCACCAAGGCGAUGAUACAUAGCCGACCUGAGAGGGUGAUCGGCCACAUUGGGACUGAGACACGGCCCAAACUCCUACGGGAGGCAGCAGUAGGGAAUCUUCGGCAAUGGACGAAAGUCUGACCGAGCAACGCCGCGUGAGUGAAGAAGGUUUUCGGAUCGUAAAACUCUGUUGGUAGAGAAGAACGUUGGUGAGAGUGGAAAGCUCAUCAAGUGACGGUAACUACCCAGAAAGGGACGGCUAACUACGUG
rnacentral:rRNA from 1 species